GUCAGCAUAGUUUAAUAAAGACAUUAGAUUGUGAUUCUAAAAACAGAGGUUAAAACCCUCUUGCUAACC
rnacentral:tRNA from 1 species